rnacentral:rRNA from 1 species
CUUCCUACGGGACGCAGCAGUGGGGAAUCUUGCACAAUGGGCGAAAGCCUGAUGCAGCAACGCCGCGUGAGCGAAGAAGGCCUUUGAGCCGUAAAGCUCUGUCCUAAGGGAGGAAGGAAGUGACGGUACCUUAGGAGGAAGCCCCGGCUAACUACGUGCCAGCAGCCGCGGUAAUACGUAGGGGGCAAGCGUUAUCCGGAAUUAUUGGGCGUAAAGAGUACGUAGGCGGUUCUUUAAGCGCAGGGUUUAAGGCGAUAGCUUAACUAUCGUUCGCCCGGUGAACUGGGGGACUUGAGUAUCGGAGG